rnacentral:rRNA from 1 species
UGGGGAAUUUUCCGCAAUGGGCGCAAGCCUGACGGAGCAAUACCGCGUGAGGGAGGAAGGCUCUUGGGUUGUAAACCUCUUUUCUGGGGGACGAUGGUGACGGUACCCGGGGAACAAGCACCGGCCAACUCCGUGCCAGCAGCCGCGGUAAGACGGAGGGUGCGAGCGUUGUUCGGAAUCACUGGGCGUAAAGGGCGCGUAGG